UACAGAGGGGGCAAGCGUUGUUCGGAAUUACUGGGCGUAAAGGGCGCGUAGGCGGCCUGUUAAGUCGAACGUGAAAUCCCCGGGCUCAACCCGGGAACUGCGUCCGAUACUGGCAGGCUUGAAUUCGGGAGAGGGAUGCGGAAUUCCAGGUGUAGCGGUGAAAUGCGUAGAUAUCUGGAGGAACACCGGUGGCGAAGGCGGCAUCCUGGACCGAGAUUGACGCUGAGGCGCGAAAGCGUGGGUAGCAAACAGG
rnacentral:rRNA from 1 species